GCCUUAAAGGGUGAACGGACACACUGGAACUGAGACACGGUCCAGACUCCUAUGGGAGGCAGCAGUGGGGAAUUUUGGACAAUGGGGGAAACCCUGAUCCAGCGACGCCGCGUGGAGGAUGAAGGCCUUCGGGUUGUAAACUCCUUUUAGAGGGGAAGAAAUAAAUGACGUUACCCUCAGAAAAAGCCACGGCUAACUACGUGCCAGCAGCCGCGGUAAUACGUAGGUGGCGAGCGUUACUCGGAAUUACUAGGCGUAAAGCGUAUAUAGGCUGUCGUAUAAGUCUUUAGUAAAAUUUCUCGGCUCAACCGGGAAAAGCUUAAGGAUACUGUUCGACUUGAGUGUGGGAGAGGGAAACGGAAUUCCUGGUGUAGCGGUGAAAUGCGUAGAUAUCAGGAGGAACACCGAUGGCGAAAGCAGUUUCCUGGACCAAUACUGACGCUGAUGUACGAAAGCUAGGGUAGCAAACAGGAUUAGAUACCCUGGUAGUCCUAGCUGUAAACUAUGUUCACUAGAUGUGGGGGGUAUCGACCCCUUCCGCGUCGU
rnacentral:rRNA from 1 species